rnacentral:lncRNA from 1 species
UAAUUAAUUUUUAUCAUAUUUAAUUGGACAGAGUAUAUACCUAUGAAUUCCAGGCUCGAUAUUUGAGGCCCAGUAGCACCAAGCUAUCCUGAAUUCUUGUGUGUGUCAAAUUUAAUAUUUUUAUAAUUUUGUAUGUUUGUUUUGUAAAUUAAAUAAUUAAUUUUUAUCAUAUUUAAUUGGACAGAGUAUAUACCUAUGAAUUCUAGGCUCGAUAUUUGAGGCCCAGUAGCACCAAGCUAUCCUGAAUUCUUGUUUGUGUCAAUUUUAAUACUUUCAUAAUUUUGUAUGUUUGUUUUGUAAAUUAAAUAUUUAAUUUUUAUCAUAUUUAAUUGGACAGAGUAUAUACCUAUGGGUUUCAGGCUCGAUAUUUGAGGUCCAGUAGCACCAAGCUAUCCUGAAUUCUUGUGUGUGUCAAUUUUAAUAUUUUUAUAAUUUUGUAUGUUUGUUUUGUAAAUUAAAUAAUUAAUUUUUAUCAUAUUUAAUUCGACAAAGUAUAUACCUAUGAAUUUCAGGCUCGAUAUUUGAGGCCCAGUAGCACCAAGCUAUCCUGAAUUCUUGUUUGUGUCAAUUUUAAUACUUUCAUAAUUUUGUAUGUUUGUUUUGUAAAUUAAAUAAUUAAUUUUUAUCAUAUUUAAUUGGACAGAGUAUAUACCUAUGGGUUCCAGGCUCGAUAUUUGAGGCCCAAUAGCACCAAGCUAUCCUGAAUUCUUGUGUGUGUCAAUUUUAAUAUUUUCAUAAUUUUGUAUGUCUAUUUUGUAAAUUAAAUAAUUAAUUUUUAUCAUAUUUAAUUGGACAGAGUAUAUACUUAUGAGUUUCAGGCUCGAUAUUUGAGGCCCAGUAGCACCAAUCUAUCCUGAAUUCUUGUGUGUGUCAAUUUUAAUAUUUUUAUAAUUUUGUAUGUUUGUUUUCUAAAUUAAAUAAUUAAUUUUUAUCAUAUUUAAUUAGACAGAGUAUAUACCUAUAAAUUUCAGGCUCGAUAUUUGAGGCUCAGUAGCACCAAGCUAUCCUGAAUUUUUGUUUGUGUCAAUUUUAAUAUUUUCUUAAUUUUGUAUGUUUGUUUUUUAAAUUAAAUAAUUAAUUUUUAUCAUAUUUAAUUGGACAGAGUAUAUACUUAUGGGUUCCAGGCUUGAUAUUGGAGGCCCAGUAGCACUAAGCUAUCCUGAAUUCUUGUUUGUGUCAAUUUUAAUACUUUUAUAAUUUUGUAUGUUUGUUUUGUAAAUUAAAUAAUUAUUUUUUAUCAAAUUUAAUUGGACAGAGUAUAUACCUAUAAAUUCCAGGCCCGAUAUUUGAGGCCCAGUAGCACCAAGCUAUCCUGAAUUCUUGUUUGUGUCAAUUUUAAUAUUUUCUUAAUUUUGUAUGUUUGUUUUUUAAAUUAAAUAAUUAAUUUUUAUCAUAUUUAAUUGGACAGAGUAUAUACUUAUGGGUUCCAGGCUCGAUAUUUGAGGUCGAGUAGCACCAUGCUAUCCUGAAUUUUUGUGUGUGUCAAUUUUAAUAUUUUCAUAAUUUUGUAUGUUUCUCUUGUAAAUUAAAUAAUUAAUUUUUAUCAUAUUUAAUUGGACAGAUUAUAUACCUAUGGGUUUCAGGCUCGAUAUUUGAGGCCCAGUAACAUGAAGCUAUCCUGAAUUCUUGUGUGUGUCAAUUUUAAUAUUUUUAUAAUUUUGUAUGUUUGUUUUGUAAAUUAAAUAAUUAAUUUUUAUCAUAUUUAAUUGGACAGAGUAUAUACCUAUGAAUUCCAGGCUCGAUAUUUGAGGCUCAGUAGCACCAAGCUAUCCUGAUUUCUUGUUUGUGUCAAUUUUAAUAUUUUCUUAAUUUUGUAUGUUUGUUUUUUAAAUUAAAUAAUUAAUUUUUAUCAUAUUUAAUUGGACAGAGUAUAUACAUAUGGGUUUCAGGCUCGAUAUUUGAGGCCCAGUAGCACCAAGCUAUCCUGAAUUCUUGUGUGUGUCAAUUUUAAUAUUUUUAUAAUUUUGUAUGUUUGUUUUGUAAAUUAAAUAAUUAAUUUUUAUCAUAUUUAAUUGGACAGAGUAUAUAUCUAUGGGUUCCAGGCUCGAUAUUUGAGGCUCAGUAGCACCAAGCUAUCCUGAAUUCUUGUUUGUGUCAAUUUUAAUACUUUCAUAAUUUUGUAUGUUUGUUUUGUAAAUUAAAUAAUUAAUUUUUAUCAUAUUUAAUUGGACAGAGUAUAUACCUAUGGGUUUCAGGCUCGAUAUUUGAGGCCCAGUAGCACCAAGCUGUCCCGAAUUCUUGUGUGUGUCAAUUUUAAUAUUUUUAUAAUUUUGUAUGAUUAUUUUGUAAUUUAAAGAAUUAAUUUUUAUCAUAUUUAAUUGGACAGAGUUUAUACCUAUGGGUUUCAGGCUCGAUAUUUGAGGCCCAGUAGCACCAAGCAAUCUUGAAUUC